rnacentral:sRNA from 2 species
CAGCGUCAAGUAAGAAGGGAAAUAAAAAAAAAAAGGGAAAACGAAACAGAAAAGAAAAAGAAAAUCGACCAGGAAAGGGGGGAGAAAAAAAAAACAAAGGAGAAACCACUCAUCUACCCGCCCUCCAUUACCCCGAUGCCAUCCCAGAACAACUCAAAGAGUUACAUACAAUUGACUUCCCGCAGCCAACCCUCCAUCCAGGCCGGUUCUCAAUCCCUUAAAGCCCCCAUCCCCGUCCCCCGUCCCCACCCCAGCGCAAGGCAAAACGCCCCAAUGCCCAAUGCAAUGCCCAAUGCCUGAGAACGAACUAUUUUAUUAUCACCACCCAGUCUAACACCCGCCCUAGCAGAACCAGGCCAAUUACUCUUCAACCCCAAAAAAUUCUGUCGCGAGCCAAGCAUCCCGCUGUUCUUGUUGUGAUCCAGUCCAUUCCGUGCAUGAAGGGGAAAAAAAAAAAAAAAAUGGGGCAGGAGAAGAACUUGUGGAGAACGGGGAAAACAAAGGGUGCCAGCGAAGAUAAUAUUGUUUUAGUUGACUAGUUGACUACUCUUUUAACUAGUUAUCAAUUAUCAGCAGAAUGUUUGGGUUCACAUGCGGGUUGAAAACUACGAGUGAGAAAGAAAUUUUUUAAAAUUAUGAGCAACAAUACGAAUCUGUAAUCCCCUUGAUAAACCGUGCGAUGUGAUGAUCUACCUUAAAUAGAAUGGAGUAAAAUAAAAUAAAACAAGUUAAACAAACAAUGGAUUCGCAUAGGUAAAUCGGUUGCAAUAAGCAUCAUUGUCAUUAUUAUCAUCACCAUCACACUCAAACCACAAGUUUCAAAACGAUUGAAACAUAGAGGUAUUCUAAUCCUAGCGUAAGGCAACUGGUACAAUAGCUAUACAGCAAAUAGCAAUAAAGGGAUAUAACUAAUCCAAAUGCAAAAACAGCUAUACGAAACCCGUGGGUACCCGCAUUGUCAUACAUGGUGUCAAGCAAGCCAAAAAAAAAAAUAAAAAUAAAAAUAAAUAACAAAAGGCCGUAAAAAUAAAUCUGUAUAUAGGUAUAGGUAUAUGUAGAAGAAACAUCAAACACUCAUAACCAAACAAUCAUUCAAUACUCAUUCAAUUUCAACACUUUCCCAACCAACUUACGCUUCGGAGGCUUAUCCCGAUCUCGAUCCGCCUGCAAACCCUUCAGCGCAUGCAGCAACAUCCCCGC